CAGACUUCAGAGGGCAGGAUGGGAGACAGAGAUGGAAAUGAGAAAGCAGGAAGGAAAAGUACUGAGAAGACUGGCUUUCUAGAAUGCAUCAUGUUGUUAUGCUGUGAACAAUGGGAACCUCUUCAGUAAAUAACCUUUAAACAACAGGAUAAAUGCAAAUGACAUGACAAAUUAUUGGCCCAAUUCAGAUGAUGGAGAAGACACUGCACCUGUUGAUCCAUGGGCGGUACAGGAUUAAUAAUCAAGAAAAGGGGGUCCAGACAUAUCAAAACAUUUAAAACAGGGGCUGGAAAUGGAGGACAAAGAAGCAAAUCUCUGGCCGUAAGCAAGACAUAGUAAGGGACCGAGAGUACUCGUAAUCUAUUCCCAAAAGAUGAUGGUUCCAUUUAUAGUCAACAAGGAGAAGAACAUUCUCAUUGGCUGUAAAGAACUUCAACUCCGUAAACUGAGAAGCAUCAGGAAAAGGAGACCAGGAUUUAAAAAGGAAAAAGAAAAGCGAGCAGAUGCGUGUGUGUGUCCUCCAUUAUCUGUCAAGGGCAAAAGGGAGAGGCAGCAGCCACCAGGACUGCAUGCAGCUGAGGAUCCAAUGCUGCCCCUGGAAGGAAUUCAAAACAGCUCCUCGUGAGAAGGACAGAGUCCCACUAAUUUACAAACACUCAGAAGCAUCUUGAGGCCAUAAAUAACAUGCUAGCUACAAGAGUCACUGGAAAUAUUCAGCAAAAAGCGAAAGUCUUAUUUCAUCACAUCUGAAGUAGUAAUACGACGUAAAGACACUCCCACGAGAUUAAAGUGCACACUUGUGUGGGGUAACUCUUGCCAGUUACCUGGUGAAAAGUCAAACAGAAUCCUGGACUGCAGCACACACAACAGUGAGAUCUUCUCAAAUGAAGGUCCUCCCUUCUCCAGAGUUGAACGGCAACUACUUUAAACCCCAGGGCUAGUUGUUCCCCCAGCUCUUAUCAGCCAUCUAGUCUUGAGACUGGCACAAGGAUUUAUAGUUUUCUAGGUACAUGAUAUUAAAACAGUUUCCUUUUCGUUUUAUACUCGUAAUAAAAAGGAUUAAGUUUUAAAACUAACUUUUAAGAAGUCAAUGAAACCUGACAGCAGCAUAUGAAAUGAAAGCAUUUGCUGAACACAGCCAUCUGAAAAGCUGGCUUUAGUCCAAGCUAGUCACAAAUCCCAGCACAAGGCACCUGCUAACAAAGGCCUCUGACUUUGUAGGACUUCUCAGAAUAGCUCAUAUAUUCGGUAAACUAGGUAACAGAAUUUAUGCACUAUCAGCUGUGUGUAUAUUAACAAAAUUACUGAGGUACUUUAUUACAUGUAAUAAUCAACUCAGAAAUUAAAAAGGAAAAUCAUCUGAUUCACGACACACACAUCUCCCUAGGUAACGAAAGUUUUACAGCUCCAAUAUUCUGAGUUCUUGACAAGGAAAGACAGAACAAAGAAAGUUACCAAGUAAUUUUAGAGGCCUCAGUAAGUAGGAAUGAGUCUGCAACAAUCAGGAUGCAGGAAAAAAAGGGGGAGAAGUCCAUAAUCUCUCUAAAAAGAGGACCCACUGUAUUGUCCAUCUAUCCGGACUCCAUUUCUAAAUAGCUAAUCAAAGGUAAGAGCUGUUUGCUAUGGCUCUUACCUGAGUGGAAAUAAAGUGCAUCUGACUGCAUUAAGGAAACUGAUGCUGGCACUCAUCUGGUUUCUUUGCUUAAAAGCUCUUUGGCUCAGUCACUGUGAUUGUCAGACUGUUCCAGAGCACCUGUGGACCACCGUUAAUUUUCAAACGGUUCCCAGACCCAUUUUUCAAAUGACAAAAAAGGCACACAAAAGAAGUAAAAUUAUCAUCUGUGGUGACAGAACAAGAAACAAGAAGAGCCAAGAGCUGAUAUUUGGAGUUUAGUUUAGCCUAGGUCAGGUGGAUUCUACUAACAUAUACUGAACAAUUUCUACACAAACAUAGACGGGGGAUCAGUUACUUCAUUCCAUAGUGAAGUAACCUUAACCAAAUUUUGAACUGCUGCUUCUCUAAGAGCUAAAUGUUUCCUGGAGAUCAUCCUGCCAGUACCGAACUUAUCUUAAGCCAUCUGACAGUAAGAUAUGAAAAAACUACAGUACCAGAAAUACCAUUGCCCAGUCUGAAAAAUGACUCAAAGUCAGCAUUUUUCUGUUAGUGUGACAAAUAAGUGUUGAUUUCUGCCAAAUUAAACCCUUGUUUAAGGAUAAAAAAAUAUUCUGUUUUUAUGGAAGAAGUCUCACUUGUCCAGCACUGAGAGAUAACCCCACACUGCUAGAGGUCUAAGGUGUAAUACUACUUCUUCCAGCUUUUGACAGGCUUUUAUUUUAACACAGUUAACAAAAUGUUUUAUAGUUACCCUAGGGUUACCUUAAGCAAAACAACCAUCACAAACCAUAUAAAAUGUUUGUAAUGUUUCUAAUUUAACCAUCUCCUAGAGUUGGAAAGAACCACCAAUUACUAGAUGACACAAUCUCAAAAGAACUGCAUAGCACUGUUCAUUUAUAUUUCACCAUCAAACAGCAGGUAGCCUUUGGUCUUAAAAAUAGAAGCGGGCCCAACCCACAAAGAACCUGAGUAAUGUGACCUUUCUUUCAGUCUCAUUUCCAGAAGCAUGCGUCUCAGUUUAAAACCUGUAAGUUGAUGUGAACUCUUCACAUACAACUAAUUCAGUGCAAUUUAAAAUCCAGUACAAUCAGUAACAUUAUAGAAUUACGAAUGAGAAUAAUGGUUACUUAAUCUUUACUCAUUGACUGGAAAGACUAUACUUUCACUUGCUCUGUUAUUUUUUAAUAUGAGAAGAACAAAAGGAAAAGAACCUGUUAAGCAGACCUACGUUUUGGCUGUGACAUCCACAUACUGUCCAGGGCGAAAGUGAGCAGCAUAAAGAGGAGUGCCUUUAUGAAAAGAAAACAAGCAAUAUAUGAAAUGUCGGCCCAGAACAACGUCACUGAACAUAAACUACAUCUAGAAAGCCUAUCAGGUUUCCAAAAAAGUAGAAGAUUCUCUUCUGCAAUUAUAAUUACUAGAAACAUCAAUAAUUAAAAUUGUUCAUCAAACAUGUUUUAAUCGACUGUCCAUGGGCUGAAGAACAAUGUGUCCCAGGAUGUUGGGCCAACAGAUCACGGCUGGCGGAUGGGCUUGUGCCUUUACAGAGGCCAACGUGGUACUGGUUGAAAUGGGUAAUUCACAUGACGGACACUGUGUUCUUGCUGGUAAAUACAUGGGUUUGAUGAUUUUUUGUUGCUUUGGUAAA